AAUGAACGCUGGCGGCAGGCCUAACACAUGCGAGUCGAACGGAAGAACAGUGCUUGCUUGUGGUUCCGGGGGGGGAAUGGGGGGCGGGACAGGAGAAUAUCCUGCUCUAUACUUUAGGAGGGCAUCACGCAGGGGGAAAUACUCCAAUAGCGCAGACGCUGUACGGGGGAGAGCAUUGGAACUUAUGAUCUUACGCGAUUGGAUGUGCGGAUGUCGGAUUAGCUGGUUGGGGGGGUAAAGACCCAGCAAGGCGAGGAUAGGUAGCUGGUCUGAGAGGAUGAUCAGCCACACUGGAACUGAGACACGGUCCAGACUCCUACGGGAGGCAGCAGUGGGGAAUAUUGGACAAUGGGCGGAAGCCUGAUCCAGCCAGACCGCGUGGGUGAAGAAGGCCUUCGGGUUGUAAAGCCCUUUUGUUGGGAAAGAAAAGCAGUAGGUUAAUACCCCGCUGUUCUGACGGUACCCAAAGAAUAAGCACCGGCUAACUUCGUG
rnacentral:rRNA from 1 species